rnacentral:snRNA from 1 species
GUGCUCACUUCAGCAGCCCAUAUACCAAAAUUAGUAUGAUACAGAAAAGAUUAACUUGACCCCUGUGAAAGAAUGACACACAAAUUUGUGAAGCAUUUCAUAUUUUU